AGGGCACCACCAGGAGUGGAGCCUGCGGCUUAAUUUGACUCAACACGGGAAAGCUCACCCGGCCCGGACACUGGAAGGAUUGACAGAUUGAGAGCUCUUUCUUGAUUCGGUGGUUGGUGGUGCAUGGCCGUUCUUAGUUGGUGGAGCGAUUUGUCUGGUUUAUUCCGAUAACGAACGAGACUCUGGCCUACUAAAUAGAGACAGGAUUAUUACUGUCCUGGAUUCUUCUUAGAGGGACAAGUGGUUUUCAGCCACACGAAAUUGAGCAAUAACAGGUCUGUGAUGCCCUUAGAUGUCCGGGGCUGCACGCGCGCUACACUGAAGGAAUCAGCGUGCUAAAACCAUUGUCGAAAGGCAUUGGUAAACCCCUCAAAAUCCUACGUGAUUGGGAUCGGGAAUUGCAAUUAUUUCCCUUGAACGAGGAAUUCCCAGUAAGUGUGGGUCAUAAGCUCGCGUUGAUUACGUCCCUGCCCUUUGUACACACCGCCCGUCGCUGCCCGGGACUGAGCCGUUUCGAGA
rnacentral:rRNA from 1 species